UACGUAGGGUGCAAGCGUUAAUCGGAAUUACUGGGCGUAAAGCGUGCGCAGGCGGUUAUGCAAGACAGAUGUGAAAUCCCCGGGCUAACCUGGGAACCGCAUUUGUGACUGCAUAGCUGGAGUACGGCAGAGGGGGAUGGAAUUCGCGUGUAGCAGUGAAAUGCGUAGAUAUGACGGAGGAACACCGAUGGCGAAGGCAGUCCCCUGGGCCUGUACUGACGCUCAUGCACGAAAGCGUGGGAGCA
rnacentral:rRNA from 1 species